rnacentral:rRNA from 1 species
UCCUACGGGGAGCAGCAGUGGGGAAUAUUGGACAAUGGGGGGAACCCUGAUCCAGCCAUGCCGCGUGUGUGAAGAAGGCCUUUUGGUUGUAAAGCACUUUAAGCGAGGAGGAGGCGCUCUAGGCUAAUACCCUAGAUGCGUGGACGUUACUCGCAGAAUAAGCACCGGCUAACUCUGUGCCAGCAGCCGCGGUAAUACAGAGGGUGCGAGCGUUAAUCGGAUUUACUGGGCGUAAAGCGCGCGUAGGUGGCUAAUUAAGUCAAAUGUGAAAUCCCCGAGCUUAACUUGGGAAUUGCAUUCGAUACUGGUUAGCUAGAGUAUGGGAGAGGAUGGUAGAAUUCCAGGUGUAGCGGUGAAAUGCGUAGAGAUCUGGAGGAAUACCGAUGGCGAAGGCAGCCAUCUGGCCUAAUACUGACACUGAGGUGCGAAAGCAUGGGGAGCAAACAGGAUUAGAUACCCUGGUAGUCCAUGCCGUAAACGAUGUCUACUAGCCGUUGGGGCCUUUGAGGCUUUAGUGGCGCAGCUAACGCGAUAAGUAGACCGCCUUGGGAGAAACGCCACG